UUACCUGGAUAAUCUAUUGCCAUCUAUUAAUUUAUACGCUCAAUAAUGUUUUAGAGCUGUCAUCAGUGUGUUCUUGAAAUGUUAAUCGAAUAUUUCUUGUGAUCAUUUUUGUUACUUUUAACUUUUAAAGUGAGAUGUUAUAAGGCAGUAGUCUUCAGCCCCAUGCCUGUCUUCCUGCAGGGUGGCUGGCCCACUCUGUGGAGGCCGUGACUUGGACCAAGGUGGUGGCUAUGUUUUGUUACAGAAUGCUACCUUUAGCCUGGUGAAUGCAGCAUGAGUUCAAAGUAAACCUCCAAAUAUUUCAAGUCCCUGAUUUCUGCCUGUUAUGGGGGAUGGGUACCUGAAGAAGCUGCUUGGAACAUCUGCUGCUUGGGAUUGAAGGCAUUCUCAGUGGUGUGGUGAUGCCAUUGAUGGAAAAUCAUGCAGUGCAUUGGACCUGAUGACCACCAACCUAGAAUAAUUAACCCUCCAAUGUUGCUGUGGCUAGUGUUUUGCCUUUAAGAUGAUGCCGUUAUAUGAAUAAACAUCUUCAAGACUGA